rnacentral:rRNA from 1 species
GUCUACAGCCAUGCCACCCUGAACAUGCCCGAUUUUGUGUGAUCUCCGAAGCUAAGCAGGGUCGGGCCUGGUUAGUACUUUGAUGGGAGACCAUCUAGGAAGACUGGGUGCUGUAGGAG